UGGUGGUGACGCUGGCGGGUAGACGGGUGGUGUACGACGCUCGUUUCCCCAGGUCUCGGAAACAAUGGAACUCGGUAUUGAUGUGUGAUACAGAACAAGUGUGUUGACUAUGGUGCAGGUGUGGAUAACUCGGACGCAGCUGUGUGGUCCCCGUCUUGCUGCCCACACUGCACCCAGGACGUAAAUAAAUACAACAAAACACAAAACAAUACUCAAACAUUUCUAUCAUAAAAAAGAAAAUAAUAAACAAACAAACCUCAAGACAGUUCCUUCCCAACCCUCUCCAUCUACCGUCUCCGCCAAAAAGAAGGGAGAUCGCCAGUUACCUCAGUUACCCCUUCGUAAAAAAAAAACCAGGAGAGAAAACGAUUUAAACCCAUCAAGUUAAUCUGGGUGGUGGACCGAAGACGUUCACCUCCUACACCUCCCCUACCUCCCCCUCCAC